rnacentral:misc_RNA from 1 species
GAGGCACCUGCAAGUACGAAGUGCAGGUGCACACACGUCCGCCGUACACAGCCACGGACAUGACAGAAUUAGUGUGUACAAACACACAUGACAUGCAUGACAUACAUGAGGGGCGGAGGCGAUUGGCAUGUUUAAUCUUUACUACUUGAGUACUACUACUAGUGCUAGGCGGCAGUGUAUCGUUCUUUAUAACCAUUGUCUUAGAUUGAGAAGGUUCACAAUGGCAACAAAACAAGAUGACAAUGUCCUGGUUCCCCUCUCGGAGGCGGAGUCUUUUGUGGAGCGCUGCAUGGUGGCUGUGGGGGCCAAGCCCAGCCACGCCAAGGACCUGGCUACGUUGCUGGUGUGCGCUGACUACAGGGGGCACUUCAGUCAUGGCAUGAACAGACUCUCGAUGUAUGUGGAGGACAUCAGGAGUGGGACCAAUGCCAAGGACGGGGAACCGGUGAUACUCAAGGAGAUGGGCGGCACGGCCUGGGUGGACGGGAAGAAUGUGCUGGGACCGGUGGUUGGUCGAUUCUGCACCGAUCUGGCCAUCAAGAAAGCUAAAGAGGCUGGGAUUGGCAUGGUGGUCGCCAAGGGUUCCAACCAUUUUGGAAUUGCUGGCUGGUACACCAUGCGUUGUGCAGAAGCAGGCAUGCUGGGCAUGUCCUUCACAAACACUUCACCCCUCGUUGUGCCUACUAGAGCGAAAAAGCCUGUUUUGGGAACGAAUCCUUUGUCUUUAGCAGCACCAGCAGAAAAAGGGGACAGUUUUGUUCUCGACAUGGCGACAUCCACAGUGGCCCUUGGAAAGAUUGAGCUGAAUAAUAUGAAAGAAAUACCCAUACCCAGUGGCUGGGGAACUGAUUCAAAUGGCCAGUUGACACAAAAUCCAUCAGAGGUACUGCAAGGUGGGGGUUUGAUGGCGCUCGGUGGCCCAGAAGUCUUAGGAGGUUACAAGGGCUAUGGUCUGAGCAUGGGAGUGGAGAUACUGUGUGGAAUCCUUGCUGGCUCAGCGUUUGGACCGUUCGUCAGGCAUUGGACCAAGAAAGAGGAGGAAGCUAAUUUAGGCCAGUGUUUCAUCGCUAUCAACCCAGAAGCCUUUGCUCCUGGUUUCCCAGGCCGCAUGUCAACGUUGAUGAAGGAAUGCAGAACCGCCGAACCAGCAGAAGGUGAGACAGAGGUGCUCGUAGCCGGAGACCCAGAGAGGCAGCACAUGAAAAAAGUAGAUGAGGAAGGUGGAGUCACUUACCACCGCAAUCUUAUUCAGUUGAUGGACAAGUUGGCAAAGGAUCUAACAAUUGAGCCCAUGAAACCCAAGGCGUAAUCUGAGAGAAACCCCUGCCUCCUCAACAUAAUGGGGACCAUUAAUUGGAUGUAUGUGUGAGAUGCGUAUGCGGCUUGGAAAAACUGGCUUGUUACAUGUACAUGUAUAUCACCAUUUUGUGUGGUUUCACCAACCCCCACGCAUGAGAAUCUUCCAGUUUAACCCUAACCGAACUCAACCCAUCAAAGUUCAACAGCAGGUUUUGUUUAAAUCUGUUGAGAUGCGUAGGCCCUACAGUACCCCUAAACUGAUGGUCUUUUACACUGAGGUUGGCAUACCAACAGUGUGUGUGUACAAUUUCCCAUGUGGGUGUUGAUAUUUGCCAGAAUGGGUAUGGUUCUUAGUAAAUUAGGCUGGGGACCGGAGUUAGGGUUAAACAGGAAUUUCUGGGGUUUUGUUGCCCUAAUUUCUGUUUCUGUUUUUUAAAUUUUGAGCCUGUUUUGGGGCUUUUUUUCUUUAUUUCACAUCUUUUUUUUUCUGUUUUUGCACAAGUUUCCUGUGUUUUUUUUCAUUGAAAUUCAUUUUCAUGCCUGAAACCCACAUAUUCCUUCGUAACAUUUCGAUGUGAAAUUCACAUUGGCCAUGGCGUAACAGAUGAAAUAACCAUCCAAAAUGGUGAUGUACUUAGAUAUUUUUUUUUUCUGAGCUGCAUACGUAUCCCGUACCCGCACCAUUUACAACGGUCCCUACAGCUGUUGUGUCCAGUGCUGGUCCGCAGAGCUUUAAAGCCAUGUAGGCCUAAACGCUCUCUUUGAUUUGUUAAGACUGCCACACACACCUUUCCGAUUUUGCCGGCUCACCAGAUCAUUGGCAUAUCGCACAGAGAAAUGUGGGUUUUUAAAAAGUUGGAGAUUCUUCACUUUUAGAUGUACAAUGUAAAUGUAAUAGUAGUUUUCUUUUUGAGUUAAUAACAAACUAAACUGGUGUUCAAGGUACUACAGUACUAUAUAUUAGAUUUAUAUAAAUCAUUGAUCUAUGCAAUCAGUAUUCAUUUACAUCAGUGUUCAUAUCUGUAUUAUUUUAGUGACCUAGAAAUGAACGUUUUGUUUUACCAUGGUAUACAUGAUGGCGAACCAUACAUGAUACAGCAGAAUUAGUUAGAAAUAAAAUGUUCUCUAGGCCUAUGUCUUACUAUAAUAAGUAGAACUGCAAGUUGCUGCGGUUUUGGGUCUUUUAAAGGCAUAUCGAGUGCACAACUAUCUCAUUGAAUUUUGGCUGUUCUGUUUCACAACUUUCCUCUUUAAUGUAGGUAUUUAAUAUGGCUUUUAUAUCAGAACACUGGUGUUGGGGGGGGGGGGCACUUUUCCAAGAUACACGAGUAUAGUGUUAUCAUGUGAGAAAAUUUAUCUUGCCUGAAAAUGAUUAUUUUUUUGAGAUGCAUUUUGAUUUUAUGUUUCGAUUAAAUAAAAAAUAGCAACUAUUUUAUUGGCAUAGUGUAUGCCGAUUUAAAAAAAAAAAACCAGCUAAAUUGUAUCAUAUUCUACAGUACAGUCAGAUUUGUAUUUGUUUUGACAGCUGCAGUAAUUAACAGUUUGAUUUGUUUGUUUGAAUCUAUAAAUUCUUGAUAAAAAUAGUUUGGAUUUGCAUGGAAAAACCAUCAAAUCUAUUAAAAAAAAAAAAAUGCUGACAUUUUUCAUCAUACAUUCCUCUGAUUACAUUGUCAGUGCAUUUAUUUAUGUGGAACAUUUCAAUGACUAAUGCAGUCGAACCCUGAUAAGAAUAAGAGCGCUGUUAAUACAAUAUCCUGCUUCUAACAAGCAA